AGGCUCUCCGUUGGGCCCGAGCGGGCUGGGGGAGGGGAGCGUCGGGCCGACGGUUUUGGGGGUGAAAAGGCGAAAGGCGGGUGAAAGGCUGCCUCCCGAGGCUCUCCUUGCUUGGAAUUCUGCCCACUCUGCGAAGUUAGGAGUCACGACCUCCAGCACAGGCAAUCAAUGAAUGUCAACUCUGUGCCAGGAUGCUGAUCCAUUCACUGAGAUUGGCAGCACGGGAGGACAGCCAGUUCGGGAGGACAACAGGAAUUCAACUUUAAGCAUACUCAGUCUGAGGCCUCCUCACCUUUCCCCACUCCCUAUAUCUAACCACUACAAAAUCUUGUCACUUCUACAUCUUGAAUAUUUAAAAAAUCCAUCCGCUUCUCUUUGCCCGUACGGCUACUCCAGAUUUCAAGCCAGCAACAUUCUUUUUUAAUUGAUUUUAAAAUUUUUAUUUUAAAAGACCAAAUGGUUGCUUGACCUUUGACUCUCAUGAGAAAACCACAACCCUUACUGUCACCACCACCACCACCACCACAGCAACAACAACAAACAGCCUAAUGACCUCUGUGUGAUCCCUAAUAAAUUGGCAAAGUAAAGAGAUGAAUGUUCUCUUUUUUUUCUUGAUGCUGAAUGUGUUUAAAAACAUGUUUAGGAUAAUUAACGUGCCCUAAAAUUCAUGUAUUUAAAGUGAUUUUAUAAAUUUAUUGGGUGGUGCAGCCAUCACUACAAUCUGAUUUUAGAACAUUUGCAUCACGUCAGUGACAUCUUCCUUGCCCAUUUGCAGUCAGUCUUUAUUACCACUCCCAGCAUCAGACGACCAGUAAUCUACUUCCUGUGCCUAUGGAUUUGCCUAUCCUGAAAAUUUCAUCUAAAUAAUGUCUCCAAAGUUUAUUAAUGUUAUGGCAUAUAUAAAUACUUCAUACCUUUUUAUAGCUGAAUGAUAUUCCAUUGCAUCAGUAUACUACAUUUUGUCUAUCUAGUCAUCAGUUGAUGGACACUUGGAUUGUUUCUAUCUUUUGGCUAUUGUGAAUAAAGCUGCUAU